GAUGAACGCUGGCGGCGUGCCUAACACAUGCAAGUCGAGCGAUUCUCUUCGGAGAAGAGCGGCGGACGGGUGAGUAACGCGUGGGUAACCUGCCCUGUACACACGGAUAACAUACCGAAAGGUAUGCUAAUACGAGAUAAUAUGCUUUUGUCGCAUGGUAGAAGUAUCAAAGCUCCGGCGGUACAGGAUGGACCCGCGUCUGAUUAGCUAGUUGGUAAGGUAACGGCUUACCAAGGCGACGAUCAGUAGCCGACCUGAGAGGGUGAUCGGCCACAUUGGAACUGAGACACGGUCAAAACUCCUACGGGAGGCAGCAGUGGGGAAAAUUGCACAAUGGGCGAAAGCCUGAUGCAGCAACGCCGCGUGAGCGAUGAAGGCCUUCGGGUCGUAAAGCUCUGUCCUCAAGGAAGAUAAUGACGGUACUUGAGGAGGAAGCCCCGGCUAACUACGUGCCAGCAGCCGCCGUAA
rnacentral:rRNA from 1 species